UACAUUGAUUGAACAGCUUCUUACAUCUAUGUAAAGGGCUUUGUCGGCACAUUAAAAUCUUAAUAUUGCCGCAUGAAACAUCCUAUCUCGAUCGAGGUAAUUUUAAUUUCCUUCGUCCUAUGAAAAUUCUCUCGAAGAUUGAUUCCAUGUAUAAUAUAAUAAAUAUUAAAUAUUUUGCAAACUUCCUAUUUAGAAAGGUUCUUGCAGAAGUACUAUCAGCGUAUUAAACAUAUUAUUAUGGAUAAUUUUUCUUCAAGUUAUGCUAUAUAUGUUCUAUUGUCUGGAAAAAUCGGUGAAUUACUGAAGAAAGAUAAAAGGGCACUUGUGUUCCUUAUGUCUUUAGAUGGUCAUAGCGCUUCUUCUGAGGAAAUACUUAUUCUUUAGAUGCUUGAUGAUCACAAAAAACUAGCAAUGUCAUAACUAGAAGAAUAUUAUAGGGAGAUAAGUUAAUUCUAUCACCACUUUUUCUUUGUCUGAUCAAUUCCUAACGCAAUAUGUUUCAGAUUAUUUACUCUUUUCAAAUCGUUCUAUUUUGUGUUCAAUUUAUACUUUUCUUCUGGUGUAGAGUGUCUCUAGGAUUGAUUUACUUAAUGAAGUUUCUCAAUUUGAGGAAUUCUUGAUGUAUUUGUGGAUAUUUUAUUAACAAUUAUAUAUGAAAAGUUGCACGCAGAACGGGAAUUCACAGGUUGUUAUUCAAGCAUGCUAUACGAAAAGGAAUUUUCCUGGUGCAUUGACAAUGGGUAUUCAAAAGUGGUCAUUAAAUAAUACUCUCUGUUGGUAAUUAAUCUUUUAAAUAGCGAAUAUGUGUUCAUGGGUCUAUCUAUUGUUCUACAUUAUAUUAGAAAAAAAUAAUUAAAGGUAUGGACCUUUCAAAAUUGUACAUUGCUUUAGUCAAUGAAAGUAUCGAAAUGUGAAAAACAUUAUUUGAACAAAAUAUAAUCGAUUACAUUAUAAAUUGGAGCGUUAACGGUGCUAACUAUCAUUAUUUUUUCAUGCACAAGCUUUUAAGAAUUACUCCUUCCAUCCUAAUUUAUACUUCUCUGGAAUAAUCUUCUAUCUUUGGAAUAAGCAACAAAAUCCACCAAUGGAACAUUAUUUGGCAAAUUCCCUUUUCACUAUCUUAGAUUAUUAUGUUGGGUAAUUUUAUCUUUAAAUUUUUGUAAAAUAUUUACAUACAUAUAAUUGAUCAUCUUUACAUAUUUACACCAUUUUGAAUUCGAGUUUUAUGUUAAUGUUACAUUAAUUUUUAGCAUUUAAAAGACCGUCAACGUCAAUUUAUCCCUCUUUAAUAUAAAUAAUUGACUGAAGAUAUACGUGCAACGCACGUACAUAAAAACUAGUAUUAUAUUAAAAGUACGAAGGGCCUUAGCGAAAUGUUAUUCGUCUUUUUUACCCCUUAAAAAUUAAUUUCACAUUAGAUAAAUUAGUCAUUUAGUUAUUUUCUUAAUACUUUUAAAUAGACAUUAAAUUAUAUAUUAGAUAAAGCCCUUCACCGACCACCCGUAGCUCUAUUUAUAUAUUUUUAAUACUCCAUGCCUCCAAAUUCUUAUCUCAAAAUCCCUGAAAGGAAGACAUCAAAAGAUCAAUCUACUCGAGGAUUAUUCUGUAUUUUGAAUCAAUCAACCUACACUUUCAACAUGAUCAUAGGUACUAACAUUCAAAUUUUUUUUAAAUGCAAAGAUAACAGGGUUUUGAUUUAAGCCAGAUUGUGUUAUUUGACGUUUAGUUUAGAAACUCAGUUUUGUAGUCUUGUGUGAUUUUCUAAGACUACUUAUUGGGGUGCCUAAUAUAUAUGCUUUGGCUGAUCUCUUAGAUUUUAUUUUGUGGUUCUAUCUUCUGGAGUGGCAAUGGUACUUUUUGUUUAGUGUUUGUUUUAUGGCUUUGAAGAAUUAAAUUUUAAUAAUUUAAAAGUGUUAAGAUAGAGAAAUAGCUCCUAGGGUAUACAUAUUCUUUUUUCUACUUGUGGAUUGUCACGAUUUACUUGUAAUUAAUUAAGAAAAAAAUUUGGUUGGUGUUGCUUAAUGCCAGGAUCUCAUUAUGCUGCUUAGGUUAUGAAAUUUUCUAUACUUGUCAGUUGUAUCUUAUCAUUCAAUUAACAAAAUUUUAUGCAGAAUUACAAUUCUUUUAAGGUUGAAUUAGUAUUACUGUGUUAGUUCGUUGAUAACUAAUUUAGUAUGUUGCAUUCUAUGUUGUUAAAUUGCUAAAUUUAUUUUUUUAUUGCAGCGAGAAGAAAUUGAAGAGGAAGAUAUUACUAUAUUAAUUGAGAAGGUGUUGUCAUUAAUAGGAGAAUAACUAGGAAGUUAGAAGUAAUAACAACUAAUAUGGAAGUAAUUAUCCAUUUUGAUUUAAAAAAUACAACUAUUUCAUAAACGACUAAGUCAGUAAUCUGCUUGUCGUAUAGAAAUACUUUUGAAUUUUUGUAUAUCUUAAGUUAUAGCAAAUUAAUCCAGAUUUCACAUUGUACAUGCACAAAAGAAAAUAUUUUACUAUUAUGAAUUCA
rnacentral:lncRNA from 1 species